rnacentral:rRNA from 1 species
CCUACGGGAGGCAGCAGUGAGGAAUAUUGGUCAAUGGGCGGGAGCCUGAACCAGCCAAGUCGCGUGAGGGAAGACGGUCCUAUGGAUUGUAAACCUCUUUAGGCGGGGAGCAAUGCCGGGCACGCGUGCCCGGAGGGAGAGUACCCGCAGAAUAAGCAUCGGAUAACUCCGUGCCAGCAGCCGCGGUAAUACGGAGGAUGCGAGCGUUAUCCGGAUUUAUUGGGUUUAAAGGGUGCGUAGGCGGAUUUUUAAGUCAGCGGUAAAAUGUCCGGGCUCAACCCGGGCCGGCCGUUGAAACUGGUGAUCUUGAGUGGGCGAGAAGUAUGCGGAAUGCGUGGUGUCGCGGUGAAAUGCAUAGAUAUCACGCAGAACUCCGAUUGCGAAGGCGGCAUACCGGCGCCCGACUGACGCUGAGGCACGAAAGCGUGGGGAUCGAACAGGAUUAGAUACCCCAGUAGUC